GACGAACGCUGGCGGCGUGCUUAACACAUGCAAGUCGAACGGAAAGGCCCUGCUUUUGUGGGGUGCCCGAGUAGCGAACGGGUGAGUAACACGUGAGUAACCUGCCCUUGACUUUGGGAUAACUUCAGGAAACUGGGGCUAAUACCGGAUAGGAGCUCCUGCUGCAUGGUGGGGGUUGGAAAGUUUCGGCGGUUGGGGAUGGACUCGCGGCUUAUCAGCUUGUUGGUGGGGUAGUGGCUUACCAAGGCUUUGACGGGUAGCCGGCCUGAGAGGGUGACCGGCCACAUUGGGACUGAGAUACGGCCCAGACUCCUACGGGAGGCAGCAGUGGGGAAUAUUGCACAAUGGGCGGAAGCCUGAUGCAGCAACGCCGCGUGCGGGAUGACGGCCUUCGGGUUGUAAACCGCUUUCGCCUGUGACGAAGCGUGAGUGACGGUAAUGGGUAAAGAAGCACCGGCUAACUACGUG
rnacentral:rRNA from 1 species